GGCGGAAUGGUAGACGCUACGGACUUAAAAUCCGUUGGUUUUUUACAACCGUGAGGGUUCAAAUCCCUCUACCCCCA
rnacentral:tRNA from 1 species